CGUUGGAAUCUUUAACCCCAUUGCAUUUAAAGCUCUGAAAUUGAGAUUUUCUACAGCCUGACUGCUUGAAAGAUUGACACCUUGAGGGUUUUAACAAGAAUUUUGAAAAGGUGUGGUUGAAUUGAAGGGUUUUAGAUAAAGGGUUGAAGUUUAUAGAGUGGACGGAGUUGAAGUAAGGGUUUUGUGAAGGUAAUGGAGGGAGGAGCUUUAGAGUUAUCAUUGGAUGGAGACUCAAAUAUUUCUGCAAUUAUACACAGAGCGAGAGUUCCCCUCCAAUAUACAUUGAAACUGAAUUGGCAGUUAAUUCCCAGAGGUAAUCUUCUUUAUAUUUUCCCCAAGU
rnacentral:lncRNA from 1 species